rnacentral:rRNA from 1 species
AAAGAGCUCGUAGGUGGUUUGUCACGUCUGCUGUGAAAACUCGGGGCUUAACCCCGAGCUUGCAGUGGAUACGGGCAGACUAGAGGUAGGUAGGGGAGAAUGGAAUUCCCGGUGUAGCGGUGAAAUGCGCAGAUAUCGGGAGGAACACCGGUGGCGAAGGCGGUUCUCUGGGCCUUACCUGACACUGAGGAGCGAAAGCGUGGGGAGCGAACAGGAUUAGAUACCCGUGU